UGAAAAGCUGUGUAAAUGUCUGUUAGGUC
rnacentral:piRNA from 1 species